rnacentral:rRNA from 1 species
AGUGAACGCUGGCGGUAGGCCUAACACAUGCAAGUCGAACGGCAGUACAGUAAGAGCCUGCUCUUACGGGUGGCGAGUGGCGGACGGGUGAGGAAUACAUCGGAAUCUACUUUUUCGUGGGGGAUAACGUAGGGAAACUUACGCUAAUACCGCAUACGACCUACGGGUGAAAGCAGGGGAUCUUCGGACCUUGCGCGAUUGAAUGAGCCGAUGUCGGAUUAGCUAGUUGGCGGGGUAAAGGCCCACCAAGGCGACGAUCCGUAGCUGGUCUGAGAGGAUGAUCAGCCACACUGGAACUGAGACACGGUCCAGACUCCUACGGGAGGCAGCAGUGGGGAAUAUUGGACAAUGGGCGCAAGCCUGAUCCAGCCAUACCGCGUGGGUGAAGAAGGCCUUCGGGUUGUAAAGCCCUUUUGUUGGGAAAGAAAAGCAGCAGGUUAAUACCCCGCUGUUCUGACGGUACCCAAAGAAUAAGCACCGGCUAACUUCGUG